GACGAACGCUGGCGGCGUGCUUAACACAUGCAAGUCGAGCGGUAAGGCCCUUUCGGGGGUACACGAGCGGCGAACGGGUGAGUAACACGUGGGUGACCUGCCUUUAGCUCUGGGAUAAGCCUGGGAAACCGGGUCUAAUACCGGAUAUGACUCCGCGGCGCAUGUUGUGGGGUGGAAAGCCUUGUGCGGCUGGAGAUGGGCCCGCGGCCUAUCAGCUUGUUGGUGGGGUGAUGGCCUACCAAGGCGACGACGGGUAGCCGGCCUGAGAGGGCGACCGGCCACACUGGGACUGAGACACGGCCCAGACUCCUACGGGAGGCAGCAGUGGGGAAUCUUGGACAAUGGGCGCAAGCCUGAUCCAGCCAUGCCGCGUGAGGGAUGACGG
rnacentral:rRNA from 1 species